GCCCCGGUGAACGGCGGCCGUAACUAUAACGGUCCUAAGGUAGCGAAAUUCCUUGUCGGGUAAGUUCCGACCUGCACGAAUGGCGUAACGAUGGCCACACUGUCUCCUCCUGAGACUCAGCGAAGUUGAAAUGUUUGUGAUGAUGCAAUCUCCCCGCGGAAAGACGGAAAGACCCCAUGAACCUUUACUGUAGCUUUGUAUUGAAUUUUGAACAGAUCUGUGUAGGAUAGGUGGGAGGCUUUGAAGCAGGGUCGCUAGAUCUUGUGGAGCCAACGUUGAAAUACCACCCUGGUGUGUUUGAGGUUCUAACCUAGGUCCAUUAUCUGGAUCGGGGACAGUGCAUGGUAGGCAGUUUGACUGGGGCGGUCUCCUCCCAAAGUGUAACGGAGGAGUUCGAAGGUACGCUAGUUACGGUCGGACAUCGUG
rnacentral:rRNA from 1 species